GGAAAGAACCAUCGAAACCAGGAACCAGGAAAGCACUCAGCCCUAAUUAGUUAAUUCCUGUAACUUGAAAAAUUGAUGAAUAGAGUAAUUACACGUUGCAGCGUGCUCGGAGAUCUUUAGUUCAGUCAGAAGUUCCUUCAGAUUCUAUUGAGGGAGCUAAUAGAACAGACGAGACUGAACCAGAGGAGAUCGAUCAACCAUCAACCAUCAACCAUCAAACUAUUCAACACGAAGGGGAAAAUUUUAUUUGUAUAUAUGAGGGAGUGACACUAACUUUAGUAUUAAACUAACUAAUUAUCAUCGGCAGUUCAAACCUCCCUGAAAAAGAUUUGAACUUCUUUUUUUCAAUGGAUAAAUGAUAAAUACUAAUGAACUAAAUCCAGACUAAUUAUUUAAAAAUAGUUUUUAUUCAACAAAAUUUUUUGCAUUGCAUUUUAGACACUAUUUAUUACAAUUGAAGAAUGAUUUUAUAAUCUUAUUUAAGACACUAAUUGACCAAAAACAUUUUUUAAUGGAGCAUGCACAUGGUAACUUGAAAAUUAUGAGAGGUUUGUUUCAGAAAAGGGGGAGGGGAGCACAAAUGGGGGAGUAG